GCUGCACAUGAUGACACCUGGCUCCCUCUACUGAACAGCUAUGAGGAAAAUGCCAUGUCACCCUUCUGACGCAGC
ensembl:snoRNA